GUUUCCAUGGCAACGGCGGCCAUUUUGGAAAUUCCAAACUCAAAAGUCAAGUCUACAUAAGCUAGGCAACAUUUGUUAUAAGUUUCAUUAAAUUUGAAGCAUUUUGAGUUUUUCAUAUUUUUGCUGUUUCCAUGGUAACGGCGGCCAUUUUGAAAAUUCCAAGGUUUAACUUCUGCUGCAAAUUGUUCUCUCCAUAAUUAUAUACCAUCAUAUACCAUUUAAUGUCUCUAGAAUAAAUUUAUCAUUGAUGUUCUGGAAUGUUCCAUGAAAAUUGACCCCCCCCUAAAAUUAUGCCAAGGAGACCCCCUACUGAAAUAAAAUAAGUUCCAUAUUGGAGCAGACAUGUGUCUCUAAAUAUUCAUAAUAGUAAUCAUAAUUCCAUCUACUCUACAUACAGAAAAAUAUUUAGGAAAUGUAAAACAAAAAUGACCCCACCCAUCUUUGAGCCCCCUAAUUAUGCCACGAUGACACCCUGGUAUCAUGGACAUUGGGUUCUGCAACCCCCAUGAUGCAGACCCGUACCCAGAAAAAAUAUGAAGUUUCCAUCCUCAACUGCUUCCCCAAAAAUGGUAGGACAGUUUAAGGGGUCAGAAAGAGAAGAAUAAGAACUAGAUUUGCAAUUGCAAGCAAUAGCGGAUGGCACCCUUUCCCC
rnacentral:lncRNA from 1 species